UAUCUCUGUAGAGUCUGCAUAUCAAUAAGCGGAGGAAAAGAAACUAACUAGGAUUCCCUCAGUAACGGCGAGUGAAGCGGGAAGAGCUCAAAUUUGAAAUCUUCAAGGUUCUACCUUGACGAAUUGUAGUUUAAAGAAGUGUUUUCUGUUGGAGUUUCGGUAAAAGUUCUUUGGAAUAGGACAUCAUAGAGGGUGAGAAUCCCGUAUUUGACCGUUAUUCAUUCUAGCUUUGUGAUACACUUUCAAAGAGUCGGAUUGUUUGGGAAUGCAGUCCAAAAUGGGUGGUAAAUUUCAUCUAAAGCUAAAUAUUGGCGAGAGACCGAUAGCGAACAAGUACCGUGAGGGAAAGAUGAAAAGAACUUUGAAAAGAGAGUUAAACAGUACGUGAAAUUGUCAAAAGGGAAGCGUUUGACACCAGUGUUGUUUUUCCGAAAAAUCAAUUACGAAUGGCUUGAUUUUGUGUUGUAUUGACCUUAUCAGCUUUCUGCACUUUUUUCGAGUCUUUCUUAAUGCACUUUUCGGUUAACAAGUCAACAUCAAUUUCUUUUGUUGUAAAAGAGUAUUCGGAAGGUGGCUUUCUUUUCGGAGAAAGUGUUUAUAGCCCUAUACUUCUACAAUCGGAGAGAUUGAGGUCUGCAGCGUAGAUCCUUCGGGGUUAGAUACACUUUGUGCUAAGUUGUAGCCUUUCAUAGACAACUUGUUGACUAUGAUCAGUCAUGUAGGCUUACUCGCUUGUGCUAUUUUACCUACGCUUAGGAUGUUGAAGAUGUAGCACAUCAU
rnacentral:rRNA from 1 species